rnacentral:rRNA from 1 species
ACCUACGGGACGCAGCAGUGAGGAAUAUUGGUCAAUGGGCUUACGCCUGAACCAGCCAAGUCGCGUGAGGGAAGACUGCCCUAUGGGUUGUAAACCUCUUUUGUCAGGGAGCAACGCCGGCUACGUGUAGCCGGACUGAGAGUACCUGAAGAAAAAGCAUCGGCUAACUCCGUGCCAGCAGCCGCGGUAAUACGGAGGAUGCGAGCGUUAUCCGGAUUUAUUGGGUUUAAAGGGUGCGUAGGCGGAAUGCCAAGUCAGCGGUAAAAUCGUGGAGCUCAACUCCAUCCAGCCGUUGAAACUGAUGA